ACGUCUACGACAAAUGUCCACAUAAAUGUGCCAGCUUGAAAAUUGAUCUCUUUACAUAUCCAGGAAGCAGAAUUUGUUUUGCUAGUUUUAUUAGUUCUUGCUUUUUUUUCUUCAAGAAUGACUCUUCUGUAUAUAACCGAAAAAGAUUACAAUGCAAAAGGAAAUAAUUAGACAGGAACAAUUUCAACAUCAGAAAGUAAAGGUCAAGAUCAAAUUGAAAUACACGAAAGAAACAAGCACUGCAAAGAAGUGGACCGGACCUAAGAGCGAAUGCUAAACAAAAAUAGGGUAUGUUGGAUAAAGACAGCCUGUUUGCCUUGCAAAAUACCAUCCAUGGAACCGUUAAAGAGCGUUACAAGAAAUCUUAACGUUCAAACAGCGAGGUGGUCACCUUCGAUACGGCAAAUGUUUACCAUCUUAGUUAGGCAACAUGUGUCUGCGUAUGCAAACAUCUAGACGAACCAAGCAAACGCAAGGAGUCCAGGAUGCAUAUGGACACAUGAGUACCAGCAAUACCAGUGCUAUUCCUCCAUCUUUCAAAUAGUAUUUCCGAUUGAACAGGGUCGAUAACUGCAAAAGCCUAAAGUCAAAGAAGAAUGCAUACAAAAUAUACAUUUGCUUGUUACGAAUGUGAUUUCUUUGAGAGUUCUUCAUGAAAUCCAAUAGAGUCUUUGUCUAAUACAAAAUGAUUAAAACACAGAUACAUAUUUUUAUUCAUUUAUAUUUAACAGCCAAAAGCCAUAUUUGUAUAA